AUCAGCGGGAGAUUGUUCUUGAGAAUAAUUUCAAAAGUGUCUGGAGGUGCCUUUAUCAGUUCGAAGGGCUUUAGGUCAAGGAUUUCGUUUGUAAAUCAAUACGAAAAUAUUCUAUUAUGAUCUCGUGACUCCUUGCGUGGCAAACUACACUUCUAGCCCCCAGGAUUGGUCAAAAAUGGAAUAUUCCAACCUUUAUUAAGAGCUGUGAGGGCAAAAUUUCCCCCAUUUCGCAUGUGCGGGCAACUUACGCACACACAUUUUGCUGAGAAGCAAUCGGGAUAAAAGAGGGAUGGUUUAUACACAAGCGCCCCAAAGCCGAGAAACAUUAUGUUAUCGUGAAUCAAGCGCCAUGCAGAUAUAAACAGCCCUUGCUGCCCGCCCGAUUAACAGACAGCUCGACCUGAUGUUUUCACAAAUCUUUCAACGGAUGAAGCAUGAGUGUACAGGAAUAUUCAAAAGGGAAUUACAUGUAGGAGUAUUUACAGCUCGACCUGAUGUUUUCACAAAAUCAUUCAACGGAUGAAGCAUGAGUGUACAGGAAUAUUCAAAAGGGAAUUACAUGUAGGAGUAUUUACAGCUCGACCUGAUGUUUUCUCAUACACAUACAGUAUAGCCUCAAUAUAUCAUUCAACGUUUGGAGCGUGACUGUGUACUACAACUGUUUCAUUCACUAGUGUUUAUGACUUCAGGAAUUCUAAAGGGAAUUACAUGUAAGACUGAGUAUGUGUAAGUACAGUAUAUAAUCAUUCAUAAAAAGUAUAUACAACAACAACUGUAAGCCCGUGCACGCGCUGGAAAAAACUUAAGUUUCUUCCAUAACCUCCAUAAAGCUGAAUGAAUGAUACAAUAGUUAGUUCCAUCAAACAGGUUAUAUUUCACUUUGACCUUAUAGAGUCUUCAUUUUUUGAAAAAUACAAGUUUGAAAUAUAUCACUUUUCCAAAAAAUAUUUCCACACAGUUAAAGACGGUUAUGUUACGCGACGUUUUACUGACAUUUCUUACCGGGUUAGUAAGAAAUUACACAUUACUUUGCAUCUGCGAAAAAAUAUAGGCGCUUGGCUCGGCUUGAAAGCGAAAAUUUCAAGAAACUUUAUGAACACAUUUUGAUAGAAAUACAUUCUUGUUUGACACCACGGCCGCCAAGACGAAAGCUUAAAUUAAACGGGAGAAUUGUUAAUAUUCAAGGUAAUUUUCCAAGCAGUGCGUUAACUUCUUGUUUUAGACAACGCGACGUACAGUCGCUACCAUAUUUUGUCGCUUUUUACCUUUACAAAAAAUAUUUGGCAAAGAAAUACGAAAAUAAAACAACCGCGCGCAGCUUAAAACAAACUAACUCUUCGAUAAGAAAACCACAUUUGUAACGAAACACUUUAAAAGAAGCUUGCUGGAGCUGACACGCCUUUGAACAAUUAAACGUCUCUUUAAAUAGCCCCUUCACGCUAUCAAAAAUAAACAACAGAAAGAGAAUUGUUAUUCCUUCUUUCAGAAAAAUGCCUCAGUGCAUCAUCUGUCAACUACGGGCAGAGGGAUUCAAUACUCAAACUUUCUGCCCCUUUGAUGUCCUACGACAAAAUGGGGCGAUUUUAGUUCAUCUAUUGCAAUAUGACGAUUUUGGUUUCAAAGAAUACUUUGAAUACACGUGCACAAAAUUCAGACCAUCGAGAGGAUAGGUAGGGAUAGAAAUAACAUGACUCUUCGUAUCAAGUUCGCGCGAUAUUCCCCACGAGGGAUCGAUUCAAUGUGGCCCUCGUCAAAUGCAAGCGCACUGGAGCUGUACGCGUGCGAGACGGUCUCUGUCGAACAGGGGGCGGUUUCACACCCGUGCCCACAGACAUUGUUCUUUUCAUUCCGACUGGACAUUUUGGUAUGAUCAUGGGGCGGAAGAUUUAACCUAUAGUCAUAACAUUUGUAUUUUUCCCGCCGUCGUUGAAGCGGAUUUCGAAAAACCAGUGACAAUAUAAGUUCGAAACGAGGGUACAAAACCAUACAUAAUAAAAAGCGGAGACUGUAUCGCCCACUUACUUAUCCUUCCGUGCGGUAACAUGCAUUUGACAGUAAUUCCUGCUCCCAAUAAUAGGCGGUGCCGUAAAUUUUAAAGGAUCACUGCCGGGAUCACUGCCGGGAUCACUGCUGCUGUUGUUGUAUAUAUUUUUGUAAAUUAAUUACAUAGCCUGUACUUUGAACAUCAUGUCUCCAAAACGUUAUGAAAUUUACGAAAUUUAUCGGCCAUGUAUCUGCAAAAAGUAAACGAGCAGAGGCGUUAGUGUAUGUGUAUUACUAUGUAUCAUCGUGUCUUCCUAUUGUAUCAUCCUGGUGUAUAUGUCUAUAUGUUCAUGCUGUAAAGGGCCGGUGGCCUAAAAAUCAGUUGAAAUAAAUUGAAUUGAAUUGUAUUGAUAGACAAACCACAGGGGUGCCGCUAAGUGAAGACACGUUUUGAAAUUAAGAAAGUGUUCGCUGCUAAAAUUCCCUUUUUCUCAGUUGUUUAUAAGAUCAUGUUAAAAGAUUGCCACUAAGAGUUCCCACUCUAGAGAAGGAGCAACGAAAUGAAAAGGGAAAACGAACAUGCAUGAUGCGCUUCAAUAUGUCAUGUUCAAUAUUGCUCUGUCGCUAUUUCUCUUCUGGAUUUGAAAAUGUGUACUUGGAAAUUAGAAAUAAAAAUGUUUUUCCAUAUCACAAAUACGUCGUA